GUCAACCUAGCUAAGCGGGAACUACGUUUCCUAAGUGUUCAACUCGCUCCUUCCCGCAAAUGUAGAAGCUCAAAUCCCUAUAGCAAAUUCCAUAUUCUAUGUCAUUCUUAAUGCUUCCGUCUCUCUGGUUGAAUCUAGAUUGGAUACAAUCAGUGAUGCACAUUUACCAGACAGAGGAUGUGCAGCGUUUACUGUUGAUUUCUCUCUUUUCCUCCCUAUCACCUCAGUUUAGUUCCAGGAUCCACACUCCUCCACCAUAGUCAGGAGAUUCAGGGAAAGUUGGCAGGGUUCAGCUUUCAAGUUGACCCUUGAUGAACCAUGGUCAAUCCUGUUAAGAGGCGUGAAAGCCAAUCCCAGCCAAUGAGACUGGGGAGAAAUCACUGAAGAACUUGUGGAAAACAGACCCUCUGGAUAAAAGACACGUGUGGGGAAAAAGGGGCUUUUUAAUGUUAUUCUGGAUGUUUCCCAAAAGUACUGCUGCUGCCUUGCCUCCCUGACAGACACUGGCCUUAGGAUGACAUGCGGCAGGAAGGAAGGACGGAUCUGGGGUUUUUCAAGACUCACUGAGAUGCACAAGGAACCAACCCUCAAGUAGCCAACUCGUUCCUGUUUGCAUGUGUCGACUGAAAAGAAUCAAAAUAAACAAAAUAUAACUAUUUCUAAGAGGUUACAACUUGCAGGCAGGAAGCAGGCCUCUACCUGAGGCCAUAAAGCAUACUUUGAAGGAGAAAAGGUAGGUAUUUAUGCUAGGUGGAGAGGUAGGAUAUACGUAUUCUGUAGCAUACAGGAGAAGCCUAUGAAAAUUCAUGGAGGAAACUCGUUAGAGACACGCACUGGGCUUACAUAUGAAGAAUAUCCAAAAGCGGAUGACCUGUGUUCACUCUGGGGUGAAGAUUUAACAUUUAAAUGUAUUAUAAUUAGGCUGUAAAUGCAAAAAGGUGAAACAUAGGGCACAAGUUCACGAUCUGUGCAAUCUCCAGAGACCAGUCUGAUCUAGCCUGCAGCUGGCAGUCAUCUGUCAAGAAGGGGCUCUUUGUAGCCCAGAGUAGCUGUCAGGUUGGAACCAUAAAACCAAAAGGAGGGCAUCGGCGGUUAGGUGAAGAAAAGAAGUCUUUUGGCCUUUUUUCCUCUUCAAGUCAGCUUUUGAUAAGAUCUAGUAAUAAUAAGGGGAUGGGUGUGGCUGCAGGUGGGACAUGUCGGUUCUCUGUCCUGUCACAGCUAAGAACUAAGAACUUUAGAGUCUUUCAGCCAUAGAGGGUCCUGUCAUCCAUUGAAGGGAUCAGUCCAUUGGGAUUUUGCCAGUUUUAGCAUUGAUGCUGUGUCCUGGGAAACCCCUGAAUACUUAUCAUAGCAGAAGUUCAGCCACUGUAGCCCUACCUCAGGACCGCUUUUAUGGGAAAGAAUAAUUCCUUUAACUGCUUGAGCCAUUUGAGUUGUGGCUGCUUUUGGUACUUGUAAUAAAUUGAAAGCAUCUUGAAUGUUCUGGGACAGUAAAAGAAUGUGCCUUUGUUUCUGACAGCAAUUAUAAAAUCAAUUAUAUGUUUAUAUUCUAAAAAAUGUUUUGAGUAAUGCUGACAUCAUUGGAAAAGUGCAUCACUUAGAAAAUGUAU
rnacentral:lncRNA from 10 species